UGGGGAAUUUUGGACAAUGGGCGAAAGCCUGAUCCAGCAAUGCCGCGUGUGUGAAGAAGGCCUUCGGGUUGUAAAGCACUUUUGUCCGGAAAGAAAUCCUUGGCUCUAAUACAGUCGGGGGAUGACGGUACCGGAAGAAUAAGCACCGGCUAACUACGUGCCAGCAGCCGCGGUAAUACGUAGGGUGCAAGCGUUAAUCGGAAUUACUGGGCGUAAAGCGUGCGCAGGCGGUUUGCUAAGACCGAUGUGAAAUCCCCGGGCUCAACCUGGGAACUGCAUUGGUGACUGGCAGGCUAGAGUAUGGCAGAGGGGGGUAGAAUUCCACGUGUAGCAGUGAAAUGCGUAGAGAUGUGGAGGAAUACCGAUGGCGAAGGCAGCCCCCUGGGCCAAUACUGACGCUCAUGCACGAAAGCGUGGGGAGCAAACAGGAUUAGAUACCCUGGUAGUCCACGCCCUAAACGAUGUCAACUAGUUGUUGGGGAUUCAUUCCUUAGUAACGUAGCUAACGCGUGAAGUUGACCGCCUGGGGAGUACGGUCGCAAGAUUAAAA
rnacentral:rRNA from 1 species